GGAGAACACACUGGGGUGAAGAGAGGAAGGGAAACAAAAGCAUCAGGAGAUCACUGAGGAGAUUCUUACCUGCCUGAAAGUUGAGGCAGCUCCAUUAGCAAGCUCAGGAGUCACUUCUUCUGCCCACCAGGCUCCCGAGGCCUUUCUGCACUUCAGUGGGGACUUCUCCUGAUCGUCUGUAGUACAGUCGUGAAUUCUAGUUUUAUUACAUGUAAAUCAAAACCACAAUGAGAUACAACCUCACACCCGUGAGAAUGGCCCCCAUCAAAAAGACCAGAAAUAACAAGUGUUGGUGAGGGUCUGGAGAAAAAUGAAG